UACGUAGGUGGCAAGCGUUGUCCGGAUUUACUGGGCGUAAAGAGUAUGUAGGCGGACAUUUAAGUAGAAAGUGAAAGGUUGGAGCUUAACUCCAACACUGCUUCCUAUACUGGGUGUCUUGAGUGCCGGAGAGGAAAGCGGAACGACACGUGUAGCGGUGAAAUGCGCAGAUAUCAGGAGGAACACCGGUGGCGAAGGCGGGUCUCUGGGCAGUAACUGACGCUGAGGAGCGAAAGCGUGGGGAGCGAACAGG
rnacentral:rRNA from 1 species